rnacentral:rRNA from 1 species
UGGCUAACUCCUACGGGAGGCAGCAGUGGGGAAUUUUGGACAAUGGGGGCAAGCCUGAUCCAGCCAUGCCGCGUGAGUGAUGAAGGCCCUAGGGUUGUAAAGCUCUUUUGUGCGGGAAGAUAAUGACGGUACCGCAAGAAUAAGCCCCGGCUAACUUCGUGCCAGCAGCCGCGGUAAUACGAAGGGGGCUAGCGUUGCUCGGAAUCACUGGGCGUAAAGGGUGCGUAGGCGGGUCUUUAAGUCAGGGGUGAAAUCCUGGAGCUCAACUCCAGAACUGCCUUUGAUACUGAGGAUCUUGUGUUCGGGAGAGGUGAGUGGAACUGCGAGUGUAGAGGUGAAAUUCGUAGAUAUUCGCAAGAACGCCAGUGGCGAAGGCGGCUCACUGGCCCGAUACUGACGCUGAGGCACGAAAGCGUGGGGAGCAAACAGGAUUAGAUACCCCAGUAGUCCAGCUGG